GUCUAUGAGGAAUUUAGCUUGCUAAUGGACUCAUGGCGGACGGGUGAGUAACGCGUAAAGAACUUGCCCUUUAGACUGGGAUAACAGAGGGAAACUUCUGAUAAUACUGGAUAAGUUAGUAUAUCGCAUGAUAUGCAAAUGAAAGCUACGGCACUAAAGGAGAGCUUUGCGUCCUAUUAGCUAGUUGGUAAGGUAAGAGCUUACCAAGGCGAUGAUAGGUAGCCGGCCUGAGAGGGUGGACGGCCACAAGGGGACUGAGAUACGGCCCUUACUCCUACGGGAGGCAGCAGUGGGGAAUAUUGGACAAUGGAGGGAACUCUGAUCCAGCAAUUCUGUGUGUGUGAAGAAGGUUUUAGGACUGUAAAACACUUUUAGUAGGGAAGAAAAAAAUGACGGUACCUACAGAAGAAGCAACGGCUAAAUACGUGCCAGCAGCCGCGGUAAUACGUAUGUUGCGAGCGUUAUCCGGAAUUAUUGGGCUUAAAGGGCAUCUAGGCGGUAAGACAAGUUGAAGGUGAAAACCUGUGGCUCAACCAUAGGCUUGCCUACAAAACUGUUGAACUAGAGUACUGGAAAGGUGGGUGGAACUACACGAGUAGAGGUGAAAUUCGUAGAUAUGUGUAGGAAUGCCGAUGAUGAAGAUAACUCACUGGACAGAAACUGACGCUGAAGUGCGAAAGCUAGGGGAGCAAACAGGAUUAGAUACCCUGGUAGUCCUAGCUGUAAACGAUGAUCACUGGGUGUGGGGAUGCGAAGUCUCUGUGCCGAAGCAAAAGCGAUAAGUGAUCCGCCUGGGGAGUACGUUCGCAAGAAUGAAACUCAAAGGAAUUGACGGGGGCCCGCACAAGUGGUGGAGCAUGUGGUUUAAUUCGACGNCACGCGAGGAACCUUA
rnacentral:rRNA from 1 species